UAGGGAAUCUUCCACAAUGGGCGAAAGCCUGAUGGAGCAACGCCGCGUGAGUGAAGAAGGGUUUCGGCUCGUAAAACUCUGUUGUUAAAGAAGAACAUAUCUGAGAGUAACUGUUCAGGUAUUGACGGUAUUUAACCAGAAAGCCACGGCUAACUACGUGUCAG
rnacentral:rRNA from 1 species